CAGGUCACUCCUAACGGGAGGCAGCAGUGGGGAAUCUUGCGCAAUGGUCGAAAGACUGACGCAGCGACGCCGCGUGUGGGAGGACGCCUUUCGGGGUGUAAACCACUGUUGCCCGGGACGAACGACGGCUUUCGAGCCGUGUGACGGUACCGGGUGAGGAAGCACCGGCUAACUCCGUGCCAGCAGCCGCGGUAAUACAGAGGGUGCGAGCGUUGUUCGGAUUUACUGGGCGUAAAGCGCACGUAGGCGGUUAGGCAAGUCGGGUGUGAAAGCCCUGGGCUCAACCUGGGAAUUGCGCUCGAAACUACUUGGCUGGAGUGUGGCAGAGGAAGGUGGAAUUCCACGUGUAGCGGUGAAAUGCGUAGAGAUGUGGAGGAACACCAAUGGCGAAGGCAGCAUUCUGGACUGCAACUGACACUGACGCUCAUGCACGAAAGCGUGGGGAGCAAACAGGAUUAGAUACCCUGGUAGUCCACGCCCUAAACGAUGUCUACUAGUUGUUGGUGGAGUAAAAUCCAUUAGUAACGCAGCUAACGCGUGAAGUAGACCGCCUGGGGAGUACGGUCGCAAGGCUGAAACUUAAAGGAAUUGACGGGACUC
rnacentral:rRNA from 1 species